rnacentral:lncRNA from 1 species
UAUUGUGUCAAAAGAUGCAAGAUUAGCAAUUCGGCUGUAAAGUGCUUCAACAUUAGCUAGAUUAGCAAUUCAAAAGGCUUCAAGCAAGUUUAGAGUUCAUCAUCACGCUGCUUCUUCAAGGGACUUCCAGGUGCAAAAUUAGUUGGAGCUAAAGUUGAGAGUGCAUUAGUAGGCAGUGAGACAGGUGUAUUAACUUCAGUAGAAUUCAAACCAAUUUCAGAAGGUAUAGUUCCAAAAACCAAGGCCCUCUAAGUAACAAAACACAAGGAAAAAGAAAUAUCUGGGGAAGAACAUGAACAAAAAAGGGCAAAGAAAAACAGCAAAUGUUAAUUCCUGCAUUAGUUUGCUAUACGAACUGUUGCACUAUAAAGUUGUAAUCGGUGAACAUAUAGAAGUCCUAGUCAUUGAUUCUUGACAGCAAACUAUUUGGCUGUCUAAAGAAUGUCAAAGAUGCUAAAUAGGUGCAUACAUAAUUCGAAGUUUAGAGGCAAACACAGCAAGAGCAAUGAUGCACUAUAAACAAAACAAAGUAAUUUUAAUAGGAUAUCAGCAGACACCUAAAACCACAACUGAGCCGAAUGCCAAGU